ACGACCCUCGGAGGCGCAGACCUUCACCCACCUAACCGGUCACCUGGGGUGAAGCGAGCCAAUGGUGAGACCGCACGAGGAGCAC
rfam:Deinococcus peraridilitoris DSM 19664, complete genome.